AGGUCACCGGAAGUGUAUCAGCAUGGGAACAGCACUAGCUCGGCAUAUGCCCUAUUCAUUCGUCCAGACAUCAAAAGAACAUGACUGAUAUGCAGUUCUGAGAUCAUAAAAUCUCUGAAAUGAUUAAUAUGCACACCUCAGGCAGCCAAACGUUUUCUAGUCAUAACACAACUAUAAGUUUCCUCACUUAAGUUAUUUUAGGUGUGGGACCUUUAUUUUGAAAACGCGAGCGCCAAAUUGUUUACUGUCCGUUACUGAGUAAUGACCCCACGAGACAAAUCAAAGUCGCCUCAGAGCGCAAAAAGCAAGAUUUACAGAUUUCACAUUUAUUCAUCUCCACUCUGAAGAAACAUAAGCUUUCACCCAUCCAUCCCUCCUGACAAAAACAGCUGCCGUCACCGUCCAGGCCUUCAUCACACUUGCCGUGGAUCGUACAAUUACACGCUGUGAGAAAAAGAGGAGCAGCAAAAAAACAAGGUGUACAAACAGUAACUCACGCAAGCACAGCGGCCCCCAGAAGCCUGGACAGCACUGCUGGACUGUCGUGAC